UCAGUUUUGGGGUCCCAUCGUGUCCCCCCGCAGCCCCCCCCCGGCGCGGCUGGAGCUGGAGGCGCUGCGGGCGCAGAUCGGCCGGUAGGGGCGCUGCGGGGGGGGCUGGCUCCCAGUAACCUCCCAGUAACCUCCCAGUAACCUCCCAGUAACAGCCCAGUAACCACCCAGUAACCUCCCAGUAACGGCCCAGUAACGGCCCAGUAACCUCCCAGUAACGGCGCAGUAACGGCCCAGUAACCACCCAGUAACCUCCCAGUAACCUCCCAGUAACCACCCAGUAACCGCCCAGUAACCUCCCAGUAACAUCCCAGUAACCACCCAGUAACCUCCCAGUAACGGCCCAGUAAUGGCCCAGUAACCUCCCAGUAACGGCGCAGUAACGGCCCAGUAACGGCCCAGUAACCGCCCAGUAACCUCCCAGUAACGGCCCAGUAAUGGCCCAGUAACGGCCCAGUAAUGGCCCAGUAACCUCCCAGUAACCUCCCAGUAACGGCGCAGUAACGGCCCAGUAACGGCCCAGUAACCUCCCAGUAACCUCCCAGUAACGGCCCAGUAAUGGCCCAGUAACCUCCCAGUAAUGGCCCAGUAACGGCCCAGUAAUGGCCCAGUAACCGCCCAGUAACCUCCCAGUAACGGCCCAGUAAUGGCCCAGUAACGGCCCAGUAAUGGCCCAGUAACCUCCCAGUAACCGCCCAGUAACCUCCCAGUAACCUCCCAGUAACGGCGCAGUAACGGCCCAGUAACGGCCCAGUAACCUCCCAGUAACCUCCCAGUAACGGCCCAGUAAUGGCCCAGUAACCUCCCAGUAAUGGCCCAGUAACGGCCCAGUAAUGGCCCAGUAACCGCCCAGUAACCUCCCAGUAACGGCCCAGUAAUGGCCCAGUAACGGCCCAGUAAUGGCCCAGUAACCUCCCAGUAACCGCCCAGUAACCUCCCAGUAACCUCCCAGUAACGGCGCAGUAACGGCCCAGUAACGGCCCAGUAACCUCCCAGUAACCUCCCAGUAACGGCCCAGUAAUGGCCCAGUAACCUCCCAGUAAUGGCCCAGUAACGGCCCAGUAAUGGCCCAGUAACCUCCCAGUAACGGCCCAGUAACCUCCCAGUAACCUCCCAGUAACAGCCCAGUAACCUCCCAGUAACCUCCCAGUAACCUCCCAGUAACAGCCAGUAACCUCCCAGUAACCUCCCAGUAAUGGCCCAGUAACCUCCCAGUAACCUCCCAGUAACAGCCCAGUAACCUCCCAGUAACCUCCCAGUAAUGGCCCAGUAACCUCCCAGUAACGGCCCAGUAAUGGCCCAGUAAUGGCCCAGUAACCUCCCAGUAACCUCCAGUAACCUCCCAGUAAUGGCCCAGUAACCUCCCAGUAACCUCCCAGUAACCUCCCAGUAAUGGCCCAGUAACCGCCCAGUAACCUCCCAGUAACGGCCCAGUAACGGCACAGUAAUGGCCCAGUAACAGCCUAGUAACCUCCCAGUAACCUCCCAGUAACCUCCCAGUAACCACCCAGUAACCUCCAGUAACCUCCCAGUAACAGCCCAGUAAUGGCCCAGUAACCUCCCAGUAACAGCCCAGUAACAGCCCAGUAAUGGCCUAGUAACCUCCCAGUAACGGCCCAGUAACAGCCCAGUAAUGGUCUAGUAACCUCCCAGUAACCUCCCAGUAACUGCCCAGUAACGGCCCAGUAACCUCCCAGUAACCUCCCAGUAACAGCCCAGUGCUCCCAGUAACGGCCCAGUAACAGCCCAGUGCUCCCAGUAACUUCCCAGUAACUUCCCAGUAACAGCCCAGUGACAUCCCAAUAACGGCCCAGUAACAGCCCAGUGUUCCCAGUAACGGCCCAGUAACAGCCCAGUGCUCCCAGUAACUUCCAGUAACUUCCCAGUAACUUCCCAGUAACAGCCCAGUGACAUCCCAGUAACGGUCCAGUAACAGCCCAGUGUUCCCAGUAACGGCCCAGUCGUGGCCCAAUAACAUCCCAGUGCCCCCAGUGACAUCCCAGUAACGCCCAGUAACAGCCCAGUGCUCCCAGUGCCCCAAUUCAGCCUCCCAGUUCCCUCCAGUAACAUCCCAGUGCCCCCUCCCAGUGUCCCCAGUGCUCCCAGUGCCCCAGUUCAGCCUCCCAGUUCCCUCCCAGUGCCUCCCAGUAACAUCCCAGUGCCCCCUCCUAGUGUCCCCAGUGUCCCCCAGUGGCCCCAGUUCAGCCUCCCAGUUCCCUCCCAGUGCUCCCAGUCCCCUCCCAGUGCGUCCCAGUGCCCCCAGUGCCCCCUCCCAGUGUCCCCAGUGUCCCCACUGCCCCAGUUCAGCCUCCCAGUUCCCUCCCAGUGCUCCCAGUUCUGUCCCAGUGCCCCCAGUGACCCAUCCCAGUGCGUCCCAGUGCUCCCAGUUCCCUCCCAGUGCUCCCAGUUCCCCACAGGCUGGAGGCCGAUUACGCCACGUCCCAGCGGCUGAACCGGCUCCUGGAGCAGCGGCUGCACGGGCUGGCGCAGGCGCUGGAACGGGCGACGCUGACGGGGCCGGGGGGGGAGGGGCUGCGGGAGCCCCCCCGCCAGCAGCCCGUGCCCACGUGGGGCAGGAGCCGGGAGGAAGAGGAGGAGGAAGAGGAGGGGGAGGGGCCUCUGCUGCCCCCCCCGGCCUUCAGGGACCCCUGAGACCCCCCCAAAAGCACCUUGGGAGCCCCCAAAAAACCUUGGGGACCCCCCCAAUAAAGCAA